rnacentral:rRNA from 1 species
GACGAACGCUGGCGGCGUGCUUAACACAUGCAAGUCGAGCGGUAAGGCCCUUUCGGGGGUACACGAGCGGCGAACGGGUGAGUAACACGUGGGUGACCUGCCUUUAGCUCUGGGAUAAGCCUGGGAAACCGGGUCUAAUACCGGAUAUGACUCCGCGGCGCAUGUUGUGGGGUGGAAAGCCUUGUGCGGCUGGAGAUGGGCCCGCGGCCUAUCAGCUUGUUGGUGGGGUGAUGGCCUACCAAGGCGACGACGGGUAGCCGGCCUGAGAGGGCGACCGGCCACACUGGGACUGAGACACGGCCCAGACUCCUACGGGAGGCAGCAGUGGGGAAGUCUUGCGCAAUGGGCGAAAGCCUGACGCAGCGACGCCGCGUGAGGGAUGACGGCC